GUUGGCAAUCAUCAUGAGCCCCUGUUCUCAUUCUGCAAAUGGUGAAGCUCUCUAUUGUCCUGACCCCACAGUUCCUGUUCCAUGAGCAGGGCCAGCUCACCAAGGAGCUGCAGCAGCACGUAAAGUCAGUGACAUGCCCAUGCGAGUACCUGAGGAAGACGAUCCUACACCUGCCACCUCCGAUGGAUCCACUGCGUCUGUGCCUGCCUGUACUGCCGAUGCUCCAGUGGAUAACUCAGCAUCCCAGCCUAGGCCCAAUGCCACUGAAGAUGGACCUGCCCCCUGGGGACCCAGGAGUCCUACCACUCAGCUGUCCCCAGGAGUGCCCAGACCCUCAUUGUUAUCCAGGACCUAGGAGCCCUACCCCUGGCCUUCCCUUAUCAGCCGUAAAUGAUGAUUUACUGCUGUUACCAUCAUCACUGCCUUCAGUGACCAAGGGCCUUCCAAGGUGCCAGCUCUGGAACGAAGGAUGCCCUUGGGAGGUGAUGACACUCAGGUACACGGGUGCUCAACAGAUUGCUUCCUCCUAUCCUCAGACGGUCUUUGCAUGCAUGCAGCCAUUGGCACUCCCAUUGUAUGGAAGGAAACCAGCCCAGGGUCACACAGCUGGUCAGCAGCAACAUAGCUGGUCUCUAAGGUGCCUGGCCAUGCCUCCAUGAGGGACCGCCUGCAAGGGAGGUUGAUCCUGGCUUUGGGGAGCCUUUCCUGGGCUGCACGAAUAACCUCCAUUGUUCGAGACCCCAAACUCCGCUCACAUCUUCCUUUCCCUGUCUCUGCUUGGGCUAUGAUCACGGUGACUCUAGCAGCCCUUCUUGGACAUUAUAGUACUCUCUGCCAUUCACUUUUGCUCUAAUCUGACUUCAACCCCCACUUACUUGGUCUCUCCUUUUACAACCAACACAACCGAAAUCUAGGGCUUCUUUUUUGUUUGUUUGUUUUUUGAGACAGAGUCUCAUUCCUUUCUGUCACCCAGGCUGGAAUGCAAUGGUACGAUCUCGGCUCACUGCAACCUCCGCUUCCCGGGUCCAAGGGAUUGUCCUGCCUCAGCCUCCUGAGUAGCUGGGAUUACAGGCGUGUGCCACCAUGCCUGGCUAAUUUUUGUAUUUUUAGUAGAGACGGGGUUUCACCAUGUUGGUCAGGCUGGUCUCGAACUCCUAACCUCAUGAUCCGCCUGCCUCAGCCUCCCAAAGUGCUGGGAUUACAGGCGUGAGCCACCAUGCCCAGCCAAAUCUAGGGCCGGAAUGUGGCUGCAGCAUAUAAAAAGAAUUGAAUUCCAUACUUUCGUUAACCCUGUUUUUUGUUUGUUUGUAGUUGUUGCUGUUUUUGAGACAGAGUCUCACUCUGUCGCCUAGGCUGGAGUGCAGUGGUGCAAUCUUGGCUCACUGCAGACUCUGCCUCCCGGGUUCAAACUAUUCUCCUGCCUCAGCCUCCCAAGUAGGUGGGACUACAGGCACCCACCACCACACCCGGCUAAUUUUUGUAUUUUAUU
rnacentral:lncRNA from 1 species